GAUGAAGAACGUAGCAAAAUGCGAUACUUGGUGUGAAUUGCAGAAUCCCGUGAACCAUCGAGUUUUUGAACGCAAGUUGCGCCCGAAGCCUUUUGGCCGAGGGCACGUCUGCCUGGGCGUCACGCAUCGCGUCGCCCCCCACAAUUCUCCGUAAAGGGAACAUGUGUUUUGGGGGCGGAUAUUGGUCUCCCGUGCUCAUGGCGUGGUUGGCCGAAAUAGGAGUCCUUUCGAUGGACGCACGAACUAGUGGUGGUCGUAAAAGCCCUCGUCUUUUGUUUCGUGCUGUUGCUCGCAAGGUAAACUCUUUAAAAACCCCAAUGUGUCGUCUCUUGACGACGCUUCGACCGCGACCCCAGGUCAGGCGGGACUACCCGCUGAGUUUAAGCAUAUCAAUAAGCGGAGGA
rnacentral:misc_RNA from 1 species